rnacentral:rRNA from 1 species
AGUCGAGCGGAUUGAUGGGAAGCUUUGCUCCCUGAAUCAGCGGCGGACGGGUGAGUAACACGUGGGUAACCUGCCUGUAAGAGUGGGAGAACUCCGGGAAACCGGGGCUAAUACCGGAUAGUUCUUUUCCUCGCAUGAGGAAAAGUGGAAAGGCGGCUUCGGCUGCCACUUACAGAUGGACCCGCGGCGCAUUAGCUAGUUGGUGAGGUAACGGCUCACCAAGGCAACGAUGCGUAGCCGACCUGAGAGGGUGAUCGGCCACACUGGGACUGAGACACGGCCCAGACUCCUACGGGAGGCAGCAGUAGGGAAUCUUCCGCAAUGGACGAAAGUCUGACGGAGCAACGCCGCGUGAGUGAUGAAGGUUUUCGGAUCGUAAAGCUCUGUUGUUAGGGAAGAAAAAGUGCCGUUCGAAUAGGGCGGCACCUUGACGGUACCUAACCAGAAAGCCACGGCUAACUACGUGCCAGCAGCCGCGGUAAUACGUAGGUGGCAAGCGUUGUCCGGAAUUAUUGGGCGUAAAGCGCGCGCAGGCGGUCUCUUAAGUCUGAUGUGAAAGCCCACGGCUCACCGUGGAGGGUCAUUGGAAACUGGGGGACUUGAGUACAGAAGAGGAAGU